UUUCUAGUUUCUUAAUUGUUUUUCUCUUUCAUUUAUAGGUUUUUUUAAUCAUUAAAGCUCUUUUUUUUUUUUUUUUUUAAAGCUAGUUCUUUUUUUCCUUUUUUUUUUUUUUGACUUAGUGAAGCUUUCUGAUUCGAUUAAAGUUUGUUUAGAUGUCUAUAUAUUGUUGAAAAUCAGCCUAAAAGUCGCUAAAUUUGGAGUGUGUAUACAGUUUUUUUGGUUGCUUUGUCCGUGGUCAGCAGUGAAGUUAGUUUUCAAGCCGAAAAGGUUAUCUUAUUGGAUGUUCGAUGUUCUAUUUAAAAGCUUUGGCUAUUGAAUAAGGUGUUAGAGGACAAUUUGCAGCAUAACCCUGUGUGUUGCUAAGCCAAGGUUCCUCAUAUAAACCUACCAUUUAAUUCUUUUCGUUAGCUUUCUUGCUUUGGUUUCUGAAGAUAGUGAACAUGAGAAGGAAAGACCCUUUAUUCUUUGCUGUACAAAGGACUGUUACACAAUCAGUUAGGCGAUAACGUAGCAUGGAUCUACUACUCCUGACACUUAGUUAGCAAAAAGAGUUUGAGCUUGAUUACUUUUCUUCUUUGGGGUGUUUCAGCAGGGACCAAUUAGCUGUUCUUUUUAUACCGACUUACUGUUUACUGGCUAGUACGUUUGGAUGUUGAGAUGAGUUGAGUUGCGUUGAGUUGUAAAUAGUAGUAUUUUGUGGAUCCCAUUGAGACGAGUUUAACUUUUUUAGGUUGAGAUCUGUUUAACUUUUUAGGUUGAAAUAUUUGAAGUGGGUUGAGAUGAGCUUAACUUUUUUAUGGGAAGUU